rnacentral:rRNA from 1 species
AUUGAACGCUGGCGGCAUGCCUUACACAUGCAAGUCGAACGGCAGCGGACCUUCGGGUGCCGGCGAGUGGCGAACGGGUGAGUAAUAUAUCGGAACGUACCUUUCAGUGGGGGAUAACGUAGCGAAAGUUACGCUAAUACCGCAUAUUCUGUGAGCAGGAAAGCAGGGGAUCGCAAGACCUUGCGCUGAUUGAGCGGCCGAUAUCAGAUUAGCUAGUUGGUGAGGUAAAGGCUCACCAAGGCGACGAUCUGUAGCGGGUCUGAGAGGAUGAUCCGCCACACUGGAACUGAGACACGGUCCAGACUCCUACGGGAGGCAGCAGUGGGAAUUUUGGACAAUGGGCGCAAGCCUGAUCCAGCCAUGCCGCGUGAGUGAAGAAGGCC